GUUUAGUCUCAAUCUCAACAUUAUCGUUUGUUGUUCGGCUGAUUGUCCUGACGGAGAAGUGGAAGACGUCUGUGCUGCAGUGUCUGUGAUGAACAUGCUGCAGGAACAGAUUUACUGUGAUCGACUGAAACGUGAACUUGUGACUCAGAUGUCCUGCACCCAUGGAUGUCCAGCAUGAGGAGACAGAACUGGACUCCAACAAGACUGAACACUGAGUCAUCACUUCAGCACUGACUCCAGGGACGGACGAACCUGAGGGACACAGCUGUGCUGACCGUGUUCUGUCUCUUAUGGCAAAAAAGAAAAGACAACACUUUUUAUCUAAGGUUUAUCAAAUCAGAAAGUAAAAGAUGAACAUUGUUGUGAUAGUGUUAAUUUUACCAACCAUAAUGGAUAUAGAAAUUGACUCAAUAUUAUUAWCAUGUUGACCAGCCUGAAGCUGCCGAUCUCCACCWUGUUGCUGCUGCCACAGUGGAUUCUGAGGACAUCAGGUGUUG